rnacentral:rRNA from 1 species
AUUGAACGCUGGCGGCAGGCCUAACACAUGCAAGUCGAACGAGUGGCGGACGGGUGAGUAAUGUCUGGGAAACUGCCCGAUGGAGGGGGAUAACUCCUGGAAACGGUAGCUAAUACCGCAUACCAUCGGAUGUGCCCAGAUGGGAUUGGCUAGUAGGUGGGGGAACGGCUCACCUAGGCAACGAUCCCUAGCUGGUCUGAGAGGAUGACCGGCCACACUGGGACUGAGACACGGUCCAGACUCCUACGGGAGGCAGCAGUGGGGAGUAUUGCACAAUGGGGGCAGGCCUGAUGCAGCCAUGCCGCGUGUAUGAAGAGGGCCUUCGGGUUGUAGAAUGCUUUCAGCGAGGAGGCGUUACUCGCAGAAGAGGCACCGGCAGACUCCGUGCCAGCAGCCGCGGUAAUAC